GGAAACCAAAGGGCUAUACUUCCAUCAUCUCCAUACUUGCUGGGAGAUUGAGUAAUUGGUCUCUGGAUGUGCGUGUGCUGCUUCCCAAAAUAUCUUUUUAAAAAGACGUGAGAGAGAUGCAGAGCUCGUAGACAAUAAAGCUCGCUGUCUCUGGGAACAUCCAGACCCCCUCAUUUUCCUCAUUUUUGAGAGCAUCCUGGGAGGUUUUGGAUGGACCUCUAUUAUGAAGGCUGUGAGGAGUGUUACCUGUCUUGACAUCACCACACUGAUAUUCUGGUGUCACUUUGAAAUCAGCCAAGAUGCAGUGGGUCUUAAUAAAGCAAUGGACCUCCAAAAAGAUUGCAAAAUAAGAACCAAAUGGACAGCAAACAGUUAAUAACAGUGGCUGCUGAGGGUUAUGGAAAAUCAGUGUCUCUGGAUGCCUCUUAAGCCAUCGCAUGAAGCACCUACAACUGCAGAAAGUAAAAGACCAGCGGAUGGGGAGGAACUGGGGC
rnacentral:lncRNA from 1 species